CGUACGUAACUUAGUUGAUGGGUCAUAUAUAUGGUAUACAACCAAUUAAGUCAAGAGCUAGCUCUACUUUGGUCCCAUUUUUCUAUAUAAACCGAAUAUGUCGGACUAUUAUUGAAAGAAUCUAUACGUAGUGAGUUUGAAAAAAUCCUUACUUGCCGGUAUAGGAAUAUGAAGUACUAUGGCUUCAUUUUGUGCUUUAUUGUUUUCCUUGCAAUUCUUGUAACUUCUUAUGCAGCAGGAAGAACUAAUUAUCCAUUGCAAACUCAAAAUACUAAAGUUGUGGAAGCACAAAAAGGAACUUAUCAUACUGGCUUUUAUGGCCCUGGAAUUAGCCGCCGACUAGCUUAUGGCCCCGGGGGUUGGCCAUAAUUUACAACUUAAUUAAUCUCGCCUUGCAUAUAUAUAUAUAUGUAUGUGUGGUCUAUAUAUAUAUAUAUAUGCUUCUCGUCUUGUCGAUCCUGGCUAUAAAUAAACUAGUAGUAAUACCAUAAUUCUGAUUUAUGGUGUAAGUGUGUGUGUGUAACUAGUCUACCAAAUAUUUAUAUGUAUCGUUGCCAUUGAAAUAUAUAUGUAAUUCAUUCAAUGGAUACUGCAGUUGAUGUUUA